UACGUAGGGGGCAAGCGUUGUCCGGAUUUAUUGGGCGUAAAGAGCGUGUAGGCGGCCGUACAGGUCAGCUGUGAAAGCCCGAGGCUCAACCUCGGAACUGCCUUCGAUACUGCGGGUCUCGAGUCCGGGAGAGGUGAGUGGAAUUCCUAGUGUAGAGGUGAAAUUCGUAGAUAUUAGGAAGAACACCAGUGGCGAAGGCGGCUCACUGGCCCGGUACUGACGCUGAGGCGCGAAAGCGUGGGGAGCAAACAGG
rnacentral:rRNA from 1 species